AGAACUUGUGCUUAUGUCAUAAAACUAUUUGCACUGAGUUGUCCAAGUUUUCUCCACUUGAAGUGAGUUAUCCCACCAAUUCCAAAAAGCUUCUGUAUCAUCAUCUUCAGGGUAUCUCCUGUUGGCUCUCAAGAGCAAGAUAAGAAACCGUGUAACUUGCAGUGAAUCUCAGUGAUGAAGCUAUCCAGCAUGGGAUGAAUUAUCUGCCACUAUCUGAAAAUCACUUGUGUGAGGUGGUCAAAACUUCACCAACUUGAUCUUGACUUCAGACCACUGUAAAUGCAAAGCCAUGGUCAGCAGAUGGACACUAGAGAAAUGGAGAAAAGCUGCAUGAUAGAUCUUCUCAAUUUCUUCAUGCAUCAAGAUGAAAGUCAAGACAGGGGGACAUGGACAUUUUAAAGGAACAUGCUUUUAGCCUGCAGUCUAACCUCCUGUUCUGGUUGUUUCCACUGCCUUUGGCAGUUCACUGGUACAAAAGGAAAUAUUGAUUUAGGGAUCUGUCUUAGCAUUGUAUCUUCCCUAUUAAAUACAGCAGGGAAAUCGAGAAUUCUGAGUAUUGAAUUUCAGAAAGGAUAAAUUUAUCAGCUAUUGCAGCAGACUUUUCCAAAGCAUAGAAAGUACUAUUAAAACAUAAAUGUAAUAUCAGAGCAGUCAUGUAAUUUGAUUGGUUUUCUUCACUACCUUUGCCAUGCUCUCACACUACAGUCAGCAUUUGAGCUCUUUUGGCUCAGAAGAUGCCUACAGCAUGGAAGGAUGAUGUGCACUUCCAGCUGUGCCCAGCUGCUCUCCAGCCAGAAAAGUGCUGUGGGGCAGACCCAUUUUUUCAGAUUUCUACCAGCAACUGGUAUUGGAGGGUAUUGGCUUACUGAUGGUGUGAUGUUCGGACUGUAAGUUUUUAAUUUCACUUCACAGCA